ACAAGCAGUGGAGCAUGUGGUUUAAUUCGAUGCAACGCGAAGAACCUUACCUAGGCUUGAAAGGCAAGCGACAGGGUAUGAAGUACCCCUCCAGCAAUGGCGCUUGUACAGGUGCUGCAUGGCUGUCGUCAGCUCGUGCCGUGAGGUGUUGGGUUAAGUCUCGCAACGAGCGCAACCCCUACCAUUAGUUGCCAUCAGGUUAUGCUGGGCACUUUAAUGGGACUGCCUACGCAAGUAGUGAGGAAGGUGGGGAUGACGUCAAGUCAGCAUGGCCCUUACGUCUAGGGCUACACACGUGCUACAAUGGGUGCUACAACGGGUAGCUAAACCGCAAGGUGGAGCCAAUCCCUAAAAGGCAUCCUCAGUUCGGAUUGGAGUCUGCAACCCGACUCCAUGAAGCUGGAAUUGCUAGUAAUCGCGCAUCAGCACGGCGCGGUGAAUACGUUCCCGGGCCUU
rnacentral:rRNA from 1 species